rnacentral:rRNA from 1 species
UACGUAGGGUGCGAGCGUUAAUCGGAAUUACUGGGCGUAAAGCGUGCGCAGGCGGUUAUGUAAGACAGUUGUGAAAUCCCCGGGCUCAACCUGGGAACUGCAUCUGUGACUGCAUAGCUAGAGUACGGUAGAGGGGGAUGGAAUUCCGCGUGUAGCAGUGAAAUGCGUAGAUAUCUGGAGGAACACCGGUGGCGAAGGCGACAUCCUGGACCGGUAUUGACGCUGAGGCGCGAAAGCCAGGGGAGCAAACGGG